AUGCACCGUCCAACUCGGCAGUCCAACUUCUUGCUCCAUGCUCGGUCGCUCAAGGAGCUACGUGAAGGUCACCCCGCGCUCCACCUUCCGGACACGCGACCCCAUCGUCGUGCUCCUGCAGCCACCUCCGAGGCGGUGUGGCCGACCUCCUCUCUCCUCCUGCCACCUCCUAGCACCGCACCGAGCACACCCCGGGCUGCCUCUUCCUCUUGCUUACUCCCGCAUGAGGCACACUGCGCCGAGCAUGCACCCGGCCGCCCACACCUCUGCAAAAGUAGCAAUGGGACUGGCUGGGAGUGA
rnacentral:rRNA from 1 species